ensembl:lncRNA
CCCUCUUUGCCCCGCCCUUAAUUUCCAAUUGGCUGAGACAAUUUUCAAUUUGCAUAGACAGCAAUGUGGCUAUUAGUCACGCGUUAAUUGAGCGCCUAUUAUGAGAUGGCUGGGAAGCUGGAAGAAAGCGCAUCUUUGUAUCAUUAAUUGAGCAUCUGCUAUGUUCUAAGUGCUGCAGAGACAGCAGUGAAGCAAAGAAGCAACAUCCUGGGUUAAAAAAAAAAACAAAACCCAACCCUCAUGCGGCAUACAUAGUGGAUGGCCCAAUUGUUCACUGCUUGUUAAUUGAGGAAAGAUACAGACCCAUGGGAUACAAGCUGGGGAUGAACUCAGAGCCUCACACAUGCUAGGCAUGUGCCCCAACUAACACUACCUUCUAAAGUGCAGGACAUAAUGGUUAGAAAUAUGGCCUUGGAAAUCAAAGACAUCUGAGUUUGAAUUUCAGCUCUAUAAUUGCUAUUUUGGAAAAGUUACCUGAUCUUUCUAAGCCUCAGUUUUCUUAUCUAUAAAAUGAGAAGAAUCAUCCUUAUCUCACUUGAUUAAAUAAAAACCUAUAUGUAAAGCAAGUUGCAUAGUAUUUAAUGCAUAAAACCAUUCAACAAAUGUUAGCCUUUUAUCACUGCCAAGGUUAUUGUUAAUGUUAGUUAUUGUUAAUGUUGUUGGUUUUGUGCUUAAAGUAUCCAGCAGACUAGAGGUAUAGGUUUUCACAAAAGAUGACCAGCCACAUAGUCAACAGUAUUUCACAAUCAUUCUUUCUGAAGACAAAUUAUUGCCACGACUAACUGGGAGUAUUAAAUUGAAAGAAUUAUUGUUUAGUUGCUUGUACAAGGAUGUCAAACUUUCUAGCCAAAUAAACAAUUCUAGGCAAAGGUCCAUACUGCGUUUUUUUGAGACAGGGUCUUGUUAUGUAGCCCAGACUGGCCUUGAAUUCACAAUCAUCCUCACUCAGCCUUCUGAGUGCUGGGAUUAUAGGCAUGGAUAGUUGCCCCUUUCAGUUACAACUCACUUUUGAUCCCCAG